rnacentral:lncRNA from 1 species
GGACGGCGAGCGCUGCGUCCGGCCCGCGGGCAACGCCUCCUUCAGCAAGAGGGUCCAGAAGAGCAUCUCGCAGAAGAAACUCAAGCUGGACAUCGACAAGAGCGUGAGUCCGCCCCUGCCCCUGCCCCUGUCCCCGGCUGGGUCCCCGCGCGCCGCCGUCCUCCGGCCGCUGUCCCCGGCUGAGGGCCGGACCCCGGGGCCCUCCCCGCCCUGGGCCUCGCCGCCCUUUAUCUGCAAACUGGGUGGGGAGUUGCACUCGGGAUUUCAAAGGCCGCUUCAGCGCAGACAGGCUCCGACUGGGAUUCUGCCCAAAUCCGGGAGAUUGGGGGCGGCGGGGGGCGGGGGGAAGGGGGCUCCGAGGACCUCUCCUUCCUGGGGAGAUUUGACAACAGUUUAGGGCUUGUUGUGUUGAUUUAGAGCAGGGAGACAUGGGUUAAUAUUGUUGGCCGACGAAGGAGCAAGUGUUGGGGAGGGGGCGAUGAAGGGGCCCAGCUCUUCUUUAACUUCUCCUCUUCUCGGAACCAUGUUAUUCCUUCAGAGAUGGAAAGGUGGCAGUUACUUCCCCCCUGCCGCGGCCUCGGCUUCUGCAGAGGGUCAUCGAGCUCGCUGCUUUGCAUGCAGCUGUGGGGAAAUGGGAUUUUUCAAGGAUGUGGCAGAAAUAAGGCCAAGACCAGGUCUUGGGAGGCGGUUCCUGCAGUCCAAGUGACCAGGAGGAAGAAUAUCAGUUUUCUUAGGGGUAACUUCUUAGGGAAGGGGGCUUUAAAUUUGAUUAGAAUCACCCUGUGUUUUGUGCCUAAUUAUAGGGAAACUUUUCCUGUGUGAUUUCACCACUUCUAGUUAACAAUUCUAAAGAUGUGCCUAUUGUCAACCAAUUAAGAACUUUUUAGUUUGACAUCUGUUGCUGCAAGCCUUAAGUGGCUGCCUUGUGAUUAGGAAUUGGAAAUGAGUUAAGGGGGGUUUUAAUAUUCUGGUAGACAAGCUAAGUUCAGGUGGUUAACAUCCGUUCUUUUUUAGGACCAAAAUUCCACUGUUGGGGAAAAUCAUAGAUUGCUUGUUAAACUGAAAGGGCAACCACUUUUUUACUUUGGGUUUUGCAGCUGAAACUGAGGCCCAGAGAUAGGAAAGGACAGUGCCAAAGUGUCACAGUGACUGAGAGGCUGGUUAAUUUAAAAACCCAUUAUCUGAUUUACUUCCAAGCACCAUGCAUAAGCCUUGAUUAAGUCUUAAUAAGUAAAAUAUCUUCCCUGCCCUUUUCUCCAGGCUCUUCCCUCCCACCCCCAAGUUUUUUUUUAAGUUAACAAUUACAAUACAUAUUUGCAACUCUUGAAUGUAAAGAUGCUAUUUUAAAAAAUGGCUGGGAGUGAGUUAAUGGCUUUUCUUAUUACAAAUCUGUAUGAAUGGAUGGAUGGAUGAAAGAAAUUCAUCUGAGGGCAAACAAUUGGCUAGAGAUCCAGAUUAGGACACACGCUGAAGUGAAAUGCCUAAUCCUAAGACAGCAGUGAAUUCAUCCUCUUGGAAACACUGCCUACCUUUUGUGUAGGUGGUUGGGCAACUUUACUUGAGCAGCUUAUAAUAAUAAUAUUUUCCAGUCCUUAAAAAAAAGAAAUUUCCUGUUCUUUUAAACCCUUGGAUGCCAUGACAUCUGAACAAUUGUGAUGCUGCCACCGGGGGGCUCCAUUUACCCAGUGACCCCACUGGAAAACCUGUGUUGAGCUACGUUGGUGUUUUCACACACACUGUCUACAAAAGAGGCAUCCUGAGCCUGGCACCAGAGUUCCCCCAAAGUAAUGCUUCUGGAGGAGUAGUGUUUCAAGAUGGAAUCACUCACAACUUGUUUCAAGGUGGUGGUGUACAAUCAUUAUUUCUGAAGGGGAUUCUAUUUCAUUCUCACAGGCUUGGGCAGGAAUUCAAUUCUAAGUAACUGCUGUGUUACAAGAAAUUUUAGCUGUUGCAGAAAGGGAAACGGAAAAGAAAAACACUAGAGCCUUUGCUAGCACCCUCCUUCCUCAACCCGUAGCCCCCAAAGGUCACUGAGCUCUGAAAUUUUUGAAAACCAGUAUGUACUUCAAAAUGGUUAAGGAGAAAUAAUGACUAUUUAUCUUGUAAAAGGGUCUAGCAGAGAACCUUUUAAAAUAAUAGCACCAAAAGUCCAACUCAGGCAGUUUAAAUUCAUUUGAUGUAGACAUUGGCAGUGUUCUAUGAGUUAUUAACAUAUAACAUGUUUUCAAACAUUCCUCCAAUUGACAUAUUUCUGCUUUAUUCUGGAGAAAAGUGAAGUUGAGAACAGUAUAAAGAAAAUGUUGGGGUAGGAAAGGACCUGUGUGAGGGAUCAGAAGGUCUGAGUGACCUUGGCCAGAUCAUAACUCCAUCUGUGUGGCUUCUGUUUCUCUCUGUAGAAAAUGAGAUCAGGGCCAGCGGGGUUACACGGGUGAUUGCUAAGUUCUCUUCCAUCCAGGAUUCCAUUAUUCUAGUGUCCUGACCUGAAAUCUUCCAGCCACAGCUCGGGAAAUCACCUCUGCGGCCUGUUCUACCAAGUGUGGCACUCUGUGAAUUUGAGAAGCUGCUUAAUCUCAGAGUUUACACAUGGAACUAGCUAACAUGAGGGCCAGCUUCCUAUCAGGGAUGGACAGUAGGGUGUGAGUGUGCUUUCUUCCCUGAUAAAACCUUGUCCCGUGGUCCAUACAUCAACCGGGAGGGAUUCUUUGGGACAGCGACAUGCUGUAACUGAAAGUCCUUUGACAGAGUUGACUCUGGCAAAGCUACUCCAAUUUGUAACCAUUUGUAACUGGUGGCUUUUGCUGGCCUAAGCUGUUUUUAGAUGCGAGGGUCGCCUCUGUUGGUGCGACUGCACUUACUGAACACCUGCUGUCUGCAAGAUAUGGUCACAAUCUAAACUGAAAAGUACUCAUGACUCCCCAACCCAACCACAUGAUAGUGAUCGUUCAUCUGACUGCAAAGCGAUUUUCAUUAUUUUCUCCGUGAAAAGACCUGAAUUAAUUGAUGUUGGUUUCCUGUCAGCUUACUUUUAUCUUUAAGAAUUUAAGGAAUAGGGCGACUGGGUGGCUCAGUCUGUUGAGCGUCCAACUUUUGAUUUCGGCUCAGGUCAUGAUCUCAUGGUUCAUGAGUUCCAGCCCUGCGUCGGGCCUGCUGGGGAUUUUCUCUCUCCCUCUCUUCUCUGCCCCUCCCCUGCUCAUGCUCACUCUCGCUCUCUCAAAAUAAGUAAGUAAGCUUAAAAAUUAAAAAAAAGAAAGAAAGAAAGAGAGAGAGAGAAAGAAAAGAAAGAAAGAGAAAGAAAGAAAGAAAGAAAGAAAGAAAGAAAGAAAGAAAAAGAAUGAAUGAAUUAGGAGUGCAUGGGUUGCUCAGUCAGUUAAGCAUCUGACUUUUGAUUUCAGCUCAGGUCAUGAUCUCACAGUUCGUGAGUUCGAGCCCCAAAUCGGGUUCUGUGCUGACAGUGCAGAGCCUGCUUAGGAUUCUCUCUCUGUGUCCCUCCGCCCCUCCCUCAAAAAUAAAAUAAGAACAAAUAAAUUUUAAAAAAUAAUAAAAUAAACAUUUAAAAAAAUCAAAAAUAAAAAAAAAAAAGAAUUUAAGGAACAGAGGUUCCUGGCUGGCUCAUUUGGUAGAACAUGCAACUCUCAAUCUCAGGGUUGUGAGUUCAAGCCCUAUGCUGGCACCGAGCCUACUUAAAAGAAAGAAAAAAAAAAAAAGGAAGGAAUAAACUCAAAUUCAGAAGUCCCUCAAGAACAUUUGUGUGACAUCUGCCUCAGUGUCAACAACCCCAAGUCAUUUACACAGGCAUUUAGUGUGUUAGGUUUUUGAGUGUCUCCUCCAGCCAACCCUGGCACUUACAUUCUUCAGUAAAAACACGUUACUACUUAGCUGCUGUUGCUGCCUUCACUUACUAUUAUGCCUCCAGCCUGCAUUCAAAAAUCAGCGGUAGCAUCCACCUUCUUCCCACGGCUUCUGGGAGAAUGAGAAUCUCUGCACCUUUCCACUUCGCUUUGUGGACCAGAGGUGUGCUGAUGCAAGAAGUAUAAUUCUGAUACACAGAAAUCAAGUUUUUCAGAGAGACGUCAUCCUACAGUAGUAGCUGUUGUCCGUGUGAAAAUAGGAAGUCCUGUCUGCCGUCGCCACAGCCCCAUCCUUCCUCCUCUCCUCCUUCCUGAGACAGUGCCUUCCAGCCCAUUGUAAAUUCAUAACUCCUACAGGUCUGAAAAUGUCACAUCACUCCCUGCUUCCAAAACCUUGGGGGACUCUGUCUUAAGGAAAGUCUAAGCUGUUCUCGUAGCCCCCACCCCCGAACUCUCAUUGUGCUCCCGUGUGGGCCAUUAUCUCCACCUCACUGACACUGUCUACCCUGGGCUGCCUCCCUCACGCCUUCUUGUCAGCCGUGUUUGAGACUCUAAGUCUUGGCUCUUCUUCCCAUCUGGAAUGCUUCCUAUCUACCUCUAAAUCCUCCCUUGUAGUCAGGGACCUCUGCACUGACUGUCCCAGCCACAGGCAUGUCUUCCGUGGCUGAAUCCGUACCAUUUAUUGUCUCUAGCCUUCAGUGAGGACUUAGUUUAUGAUCUGCCGCCCAGUGUGAUAGUAAUGUUCGUGUCUCUUUGUGGGUUUUUUCUUCUGCAACCCAACAUAAAACCUCUAGAAAUUAGGGCCUACGUCUUAUUCUUCCUUCUGUCUCUUCAGUGCCUUGCAGUGGCGAGAACCCCAUAAUUUGGUAGAUACCUGUUGCUGUUUCCAUGGAAUCGGCAACUCUCACUUUAAUUUGCUUCCCAUCAGGUAAGGCACCUGUAUAUCUGCGACUUCCACAAAAAUUUCAUCCAGAGUGUACGAAAUAAAAGGAAGAGGAAGACAAGUGACGAUGGCGGAGAUUCUCCUGAGCACGACACUGACAUUCCUGAGGUAAAGGUCAAAAGGAUCAGCUUGAGAAAGCUGGGAGAAUGGAUUCUAAUGUGAUCGUUAUCUCUGGCCUGGUCUACUGGUUGUAUUCAGAAAUAAUUUUAGUCCCCUUUGUUUUGCUGUGGUUUGUUUGAAAAGUGAAUCAGAGAAAGAGUCAUGGUAAUAUCAAAUCUGAGAGCUGAAAACUUAGAAAUCAACUAGUCUCAUUGCCCCAUCAUUUCACAGACAGGCACAGAGACCCGAGGUCACACACAGAGUUAGGGGGCUCUGGUCCAGUGUCCUUUCCUGUAGGCCAUACUGCCUUUCUUCAAGAAACGCCUGAUAAAUUCUUAACUACAACCACAAUGGCAAGCUUUUUUAAACUUUUUUUUGCCUUCAGAGGUGGAGACUGAGCCUAUAUGGAUUGAGGGAAGUCACUUGCCCUCUGUUUUCUCGUCUGCAAAAUGAAGGUGGACAUUGUCAAUGCAUACCAGCUCUGAUUUCCGUCGCUCUGAUCCCUGGUCCAGGCUUGUUCCCAAGGAGCCAUUCCAAAGUCAGCUAUAUGGUUUCUCACCCCUGGCACUGCUGACAUUGGGGGCCAGAUAAGCCUUUGCUGUCAGGGCUGUCCCUGACAUCAUUGGAUGUUUAGCCGCAUCCCCAGAUUCUACCCAUUAGAUGCCAGUCGCCACAGUAGUGACAAUCAAAAAAUGUCUUCAGACAUUAGCAGGUGUCCUCUGGUGGGGCGGGGGUCGGGCUGGGGGUGGGCAAAAGCAUCCCUUGUGGAGAACCAUUGCACUAGACGAUGAGACUGAGACUCCUCAAACCUUCAAGGUGCCAGUGCCUCCUGCGCAAGCCUGCAGGAGGAAGCAGUAUUGGCUUUUCUUUCUAUCUAAGUUGUUUUCACUUAAGACUCAGCAGAAGAAGAACCGUUGGUAAUGUACGUUGAAUAUUUGACACAUGAAUAUUUCAUAAGGCAACUGCCUGUUAGCACUCAGAGUGGAAAUGACUGCGUAGGAAUAGAAAGAGUAGGCGGGCCUUUGUCUGCAGAUGUGGAGAAACCCUUUGGAAAUAUGGUCCUUUCCCCUGCCCCUCUCGGUGUCCCUUUUUCUAGCAUUGGUUUAUAGUAUUUUUCUGUCGCCUUUAGCGUUAGUAUUAUUAUUUUAUAAAGAAAUGGAUGUAUUCAAUUUCAAUGCUUUUUACAAAAAAAAAAAAAAAAAGGUUUGAGGAAUGUUUUGAAAAGAAUGAAGGACUUUGGUCCCUCAUAUUGAUCAUUCAUUUUGUUUUUAAGUGCUCUCCACCUGCCCGAAGCAAGAACAUCUCUUUUAGAGGCAGGUAAAAGCAGCCCAGCUUUCUGGGCCUUCAAUAUCUCAUGACUGUGAAGCUUUCCUCUCUUCCUGUGUUAGAAAAAAAAGGGGGGGUCCUUUCCCUCUGUCAUCCAGCCGCCUGCAGAGACCCCAACCUAACCUGCUGAUUUGUACAUUAGCUACAGUAGCUUUUCAGUUUUCCCUGAAGAGUUGUUGGGGGUUCUGAUACCUGAAGGCUCAGCCUAGGGAAGAACUCUUUGAGAACAGCAGUAUUUCCCACUGUCCUUCUUCAUGCCCCCCAUCCAGUCUGCUGCCAAGCUGUGGCCUGUCGUCCUCCAGGAUGCCUGUCUGGGUUCACCUUUGCUGUCCAUGCUUAGUGUCCCCCUCUAGUAUCACCAGCCUCCAAAGCUCAAUUCGAGUAUCUCAUUUCUGAUCCCUGCUACCGCAUCACCCCCCGCACCCCCCCCCACCAGUCUUCCCUACAAGCCCCCACUAGACACAUCUUUCUGGAACAACACCCUCUACUACCUAUGGUAGCUCCCGCNNNNNNNAGUCUGCUGCCAAGCUGUGGCCUGUCGUCCUCCAGGAUGCCUGUCUGGGUUCACCUUUGCUGUCCAUGCUUAGUGUCCCCCUCUAGUAUCACCAGCCUCCAAAGCUCAAUUCGAGUAUCUCAUUUCUGAUCCCUGCUACCGCAUCCCCCCCCGCCCCCCCCCCCACCAGUCUUCCCUACAAGCCCCCACUAGACACAUCUUUCUGGAACAACACCCUCUACUACCUAUGGUAGCUCCUGCUUUUCGAGACCUGCUGCCCUCCAGUCCCACCUUUUAAACCUGUCACUAAUGCCUAUGACCCCUCUUCCUCUCAUGACUUCCUCUCAUGACUCUCUGUACUCGUGGUAUUCUCUCUCAUUCCCUACACUAGCCCCAUCCUUACCAUCUUUCUAAACCCUGCUCUCCUUUGCUUCAGUUUCACUGCCUCCGUGAGCCCCCUGAGACCACCCUUUCCCAGCCAGAACUGUGUUUCCACUGUUUUUUGGUUUUGUUUUGUUUUGUUUUGUUUUGUUUUUUGUCCUCCCAGCAAGUUAUUAGUCCUCAGUGGAUCAUUUCUAAGAUGUUUCUGUAGUUCUCUUCACCCCUGCCCCUCCUAGAGUAGUGCUGGGCACAUAGUGCACUCCUGGUGAGUCAUGCCUAAUCAGGUGAUGGAUAAUGUGUUUCUCCUCUUCUCUCCAGGUUGACCUGUUCCAGCUGCAGGUGAACACUCUACGGCGUUAUAAACGACACUACAAAUUGCAGACCAGACCAGGCUUCAAUAAGGCCCAGUUAGCAGAAGUAAGUGGACAAAUUGCACUGUGAAAAGAAAGCCAGAAGUGUGCUUCUGUCGGUGACCUUGGUUCCCCCUACCGCUAUGUGUGUCUGUUGAUCAUAAUGCCCUCCACAGCUCUGGAAACAACUUCCUAGUCCCUCUUUUGUACAAUCCAAAAUCCCACAGCUUUACCUGGAAAGGCCCAGUUUCUAUCACAGAAACCAUGGCACAGAGAGAGGAAAUGACUUAUUUAAAAUCACACAGCAAGUUCAUGGCAGAAUUGAGCCUGGAAUCUCAAGACUCCUGAUCCUAAGUCCUGAGUGUGCUUUUGUUUGUUCAUUUGUUUGAAUCUUGUUUUGUAAGAUUCUUUAUAGAUAUGGUCCUUUCUGCACAUCAGGUGUGUCAGAUUAAUCACCCCAAAACCUUUGCUCAUGUUCUUUAGGAGCUAUUUUUUUCUUUAGUUUUUUUUCCUUGAUUUCUUCUACUCUGAUGUUGGUAAUGGAAGCAUUUAUUCUAAUGAAUGGAACCCAAGAAAUUUUUCUCCUAUCCUGAGCUCUGAAUACAAUUUGGAGGAGGGGGCGGAGAAUGGUCUGUUGGCCAUUGUUUUAAAAUAUUGACAGCCUGGUUUGAUACUUCUGUCCGAUUGGCAUUUGUGUGAGGACCUCUCAUCACGCUUUUCGUAAUGUGCUUUUCUGCCCAUUGUAGAAAAUUGGGAAAAUGAAAAAAAGAAAAAUAUAAUCCUACCAUCCAGAGAUGACCACUCUUUAGUGCUAGUUCUCUGACUUUUUUUUCAUCAGUCCUAGCCCCCUCAAUCCAAUCAGAAAUUUCCUUAAAAGUUCACAGCCCCAUAGGUUUUUGAUCUUUUCUUUAGGGGUUUCUUGCUGAUCUAUCAUUUUUACUUUAAACUUCUUCAGCAUCUAGAUAAAACAUAAUGCACAAGACUUACCCCUUUAAGGUAAUGUUACCCAUUUCCAGCAUUCACCCUGGUGAAAGGGAUGGGAUGAGGUGGGGCAAGAGGAGACCUGCAUUCUCAGGACUUAUAAAAUAAAGCCAAAUGUCAGGACUGCAUAGUGAAUGACAGAUUAUUCUUCAAAUGUGAUGUGUCUUUCAAGAGGCAGUUCUAUUUAGGUGAAUUCUUGGGUCAAACACUUACAUCUGAACAACUGGCUAUUCAUUUGACACAAUUUUACUUUAUUCUUAAUGUCUGUUUAUUUUGAGAGAGAGAGAGCAUGCAUUCGCAUGAACAGGGGAGGAGCAAAGAGAGAGGGAGAGACAGAAUCCCAAGCAGGCCCCACACUGUCAGCAGGGAGCCCGAUGUAGGGCUUGAACUCAAGAAUCGUGAGGUCAUGACCUGAGCCAAGAUCAACCAACCCAGCCACCCAGGCGCCCCUCAUUUGACACAAUUUUAAAAAGACACUUUUCUGCCCAGUCCCAGGGCCUGAGAGCUGGAGAUGGUAGCAGCUGGCCAAGCAGAGCAGUCCCAACCUGUUCCUCCAUGGGGAUGACCUUGACUUUUUGCCAUGAUGGACAGUUGGCUGCCACUGAAAUAGAACUGCACUUUGGGAGUGUUGUGGGUUAAAGGGCUGCUUUUGGAGGCCUGGAAACCAAAUCCCGCAGACCCCUGGAGAAGAAGGGCAUUCUGAGCUCUAUAGCACUGCAGGAAGUUCUGCAGGGAUCGUAAUCCCCUCCCUAGCUCUGGAAGCUAAGUCCUACUGCCUCUAUGGCACAGUUCAGAUUUUGUGGCCCUGAUUUAUGCAUGCUUUAAUGGACUCUGGUUUUUUUCCCCCAUGUAGACUGUCAGCCGACACUUCAGGAACAUACCUGUGAAUGAAAAAGAGACCCUCGCCUACUUCAUCUACAUGGUGAAGAGUAACAAGAGUAGACUGGACCAGAAAUCGGAGGGCGGCAAGCAGCUUGAGUGAGGAAGAAGCGCAUCAAGGAACAAAGUAUGAUGCUUAAUGCACAGGUGAUAUCUGCCACGUUUAGGCCCAUAAAGACUGUUAAAUUUUAUUGUAAAUAAAGAAGUUUGAAUGAUGAAUACUGUAAAUCUUUUCGGUCAGGAGAAUCAUAUUCUCAUGAGUCAGCAUGUUAUACAAAGACUUUCUUUUAAGGCAACUGCUGGACUGAAAGAACAAGGCCAUAAUGAGAUUGAGAGACUAUGUAUUGUAGCAUUUAACAAAGCACUAAGCCAAUUCUACUGGAAGUGUGGGAUAAAAAAUAUUUCGGUACUCACCUUGUAAUACCACUCUGCCUUGUGUGAGAGGUGGCACUGGGAUAGCAGUGAGGCCCAGCCAGCUUGAGGAGCGGUAGACCCAGGAACAGACAGACGUGCCCCCGCUUUGUUGCGAGCUUUGUCAUUUAGCAGCACAUCAGUUUGACAGCGGUCCUCCUCACUGGUCCCAUGCCUUGCCUUGCACACAGUAGGCACUCGAGCAGUAUCUGUUGGCUAGUUGCACUGUCACUGACCGUUCCGGCCUCAUAACAUCUGCUUCACACCUCUAGGUAAUGAGAUCCCUGCCAUUUCUGUUGCUCACCACUUAACUUCUAGAGUACGGAGGAAGUCCUGAUGCACCAGCAGGAGGUUUCUCAUCACAAGAGGAUUUGAGGGCAAGUGCAUGUGCCUAGCUCUGUUCAUGGAGGUUCCAGAAACACUAAUGCAGAGACCCUCACAGGAGACGCAGCCCUCUGCACACCAUCUGUGCUUUACUUUUUGGGGUGAAGUUAACAAAUUAUGACUUCAGUCAUUCUAGGCCAUAAAUGCUUUGAGAGACGGAGAUAUUUAGUGAUCUGGGGCCUGUGUUUUCAGAAGUACGAAUCCUUAGUUCACAACCACCAAGAAAGCUGCCAAGGAUCAUGUAAUUCCUGCUCAUAAGUCCAGUUCUGGGACAAAAAGUCUGACUGGCCUUGACUCCCUGGGCUUGGGGUCACCAGCAAAUCAUGAGUUUGAGCUAUUCGCAAAGGUCAGUGCCAUUGUUCAUUUUUCUGAGCAGUUUGCCUCCCUUUUAGGGGAAAAGAUUGCUAAAAUGAUUUUUUUUUAAAGUAUGAAUAAUUACCUGAGUUUUUUUAAUGUUCAAAACCUCAGAUUCCUCUGUCUUCUUAUAUCAGAGCCAAAGUCUCCUUUGAAAGCAAAGCUUUAUACCCAAAAAUAUGCUUUUGAAAAAGUUUCUAAUCAGUGUAUUAGGGGACAAAGGAUGUGAAUAGGGGCUGGGAGAAAAAGAGAAGAAAAGGACUUGGAUUCUAAUUUCUGACCGUCUUGACAUGUACUGUGGUCAAAAGUAUCAUUUUCUUACUCAGUUUCAAUUGUGAGUUCUUUCUUAAGCCUUAAAUUGUAAAAGGAGCCGUGGAUGGCCUGGCCCGGCAGAAAGUUUUAAUGUCCCACAGAUGGCUUACUCUGGGCAUCCGCACAGAGAAGUCAGAACAAAACCCCACUAAGCAGGGUGGUGCACUUUCUGAAGGUCUCCGCUCUGUGAGGCAGAGGGCCAUGCUCUCUGUGGACCGGGGACAGGCCACCCUGUCACUAAAAUGCAGUGUGUUCCAUUGCAGCAAAGUUUCACCAGUGUUCAGAAUGCACGUCUAGCAGAUUACAGCCUUUUUAAAUAUGUAUAAAUGAAUGUACAUAGAGCAUACUCUAGACUAUGAGGGGAUCUUAUUUUAAUACACCCGGCUAUGGAUGGCACAUCAAGGUACUCUCUGAGUGUUUUUAGUCAUUCAGAUUCAGUAUGUAGAGAUUGUCGUACUGCGUGUAGCUGAAAGAUGUUGGUGUGUGGACAUCAGGAAGGCUCAAAGGUUAUGUGGUUUGUAUGGGUUUUUUCCUAAGAGGCUGAGUUAGAAAGGCUUUGGAGGCAUCAAACACCAAGCACCCCCCCCCCUUGUCAAGGGGAGUGUUUUCUCAGCAGGCUGCAGUUUGGGGGGCCAGAUAGGCCUAGAGGUUAAGGCACUGGUAACCCUCUGUCUGGAAAGGUCCAUCUCUUGUCGAGAAAGUGUACCUUUCUGAUGUGUAAGUGAAAAUUGCAGAUGUGUAGAUCCUGUCACUGUUUCUUGAACAGCAGGUCCGUUUCCCAGUGGGGAGAGACAGCAGUACGUUUCUGUACAAGAAGCUGUGGUGUUAGGAUCCAUCUGUUCACGUGUAUCGGUAAGCACGCUCUGGUUCCAGCCAGAACCCCGGGGAGACUCGCACCUUCGGCCAGACGCUGUGCCGCCUCUCCUCGGAAGAGGUGCUUUUGGAAAAUGGAGGUCGUGGGUAUCUUUUCACCCUUUGAAAACGUGCCAGAUGAGAGAAAAGACAAAGCUAUCUGAACUGACGUUUCUCAUGUGUGCAGAAAUCUGUUCUUUCAUCAAACCACUAAGCCGCUUGCCUUAGCCUCUUCUGCAGUUUCCCAUGGCUUGAUCUGUGCGCAGGAGGCUUCUGCCUAUGGGAAAUGGCGGGGCCCUCCAAAGGAGUGGGGUUUGGGGAAAGCAGUGUUCAUCUUGGCUGCCUACAUUUUUACGCACCUGCCAAGGACUCUUGCGCUUCUCUCCACCUGUAAUGUUGCAACAUUGCCUUCUCUCCUCUUGGUGCUCCUGGGCAAAACUGGAACGUGAAAUCCAGAGCGGACGUUGUCUUCUUAAAGAGUAUGGUGCCUGCCUCGGUCCACCCUGGUGUGGUUCUUUCAUAUGCGCUGAAGGCUGUCACGUGGAAAUGUCAGCAUCCUGCCACUCAUGUCGCUCUGAUUUAGGGUUUUAAAAAAACAAAUGGACAAACUUCUUAUUUCAGCAAACACACUCUUAGGUUGGCAACAGCAUGUGAAAAAGAUCGUAGCUGAAUCCCAUGAAAGAUUGAAACCAAAGGCUUCAAGAUUGGCAUUGUAAAAUGACAAGGAAUUUCACUUAUGUGUUAGAGCCGCCAAGUUGGUAGAUGUUCCUGACAUAGCUAAAUAUUCACUGCUAGCCUUCCAGGGAACAGAUAUUAAUAAUUGUUUGCAGCUGGAAUGUCACAUCUAACCUUGGCAUUUCCGCUGCUUAUUUUGUGGGAACUUCUUGGUUAACAUCCUGCAGGACAACCAGCUGGUAGACGAGGGAGAAAGUAGGAGAGGGGACUUACUCGGGAGCCCUUGUCUGUUGAAGUAGGCUGUCCAGACCGUGGAUCCCAGCAAAGUUGCUUCAUGGAAGUCCCCUAAAGGCUCUCAGUCCUUAUAAUGGUGAGAUCCAAAAGUAGGGAAAGGGUCUUUAAGUCAUCAGUCCGGUCUCCCCACAGGUGCUGACAUUCUGCCUACAACUGUCCCACCAAGGAUUUGAGCAGUCUGGGUUUAAACAUCUCUGAGGACAGGGAACUCACUACCUCCUGGGGAAGCCUGCUGUAUCUUUGUAAACCUCUGGCUUUUCUGUGUUCUCUGUAAUUUCCAUCUUAGUCUGUCCCCAGUAGGGGCCAUGUGGAACAAGUUGUUCAUCUUGGCCAAGGACCCAAUCGCUGGCACUGUCCCAUGGCCUAGCAGCCAUCUUUUGGAAAGGAGCAGCUGGCAGAUGGACACUUUGGUGUGCUGACUGUCCUUCCCCCUCAGCAUUGGUCCAUUUAGUUCCUUGUUGAAGGAUGUUGCGGAAACCCCAUCAGCCUGUUUAUACUCAUUGCCGCUGAAGCUAACGGAGGGGUCAAGAGAGGAAGGGAUGCUAUCAGCCUGAUAAAUAACCUAAGAAGGGGUGAGACCCUGGUUCCAUGCUUGCCACACAAAAACGGAUGCUCACAUCACUCAGGAAGAGUUUUAGCUAGAAGAUUGUAAAACACUGCUCCCUGUGGAGUGUAAAGUUUCCACGGCUACUGAGGGCUUGUACCUUAAAAUUUCUGCAAGUUCUUCACACGUUUUUAUUGAGCAAAUGAAGCUUAGGAUACCUUGAGGGGAGGGGUACACCACAUGUCUCUGUGUCCUAGAAGUGCCAUACUUUCAAGCUGGAAAGUCCUUUAAGGUUGCUGGUGCGCCCUCAUUCAUUUUAAAGACAGGAGACUAAAAUUCAGAUCAACUUGCCCAAGUCACAUGGCACUGUCUGGACUAACAUCUCAUCCUCCUGACCUGUCCAGAGCUCUGCUCGCUCUCUGACUUGCACAGGACUCAAAUCCUGUCUAAUGUAACUGCCUUCAGAUUCUUGAGACCUGGCCACUGAGCAGAGAGGUUCCCAAGGCCAUCUCUUCAGGGCUGUGAACCACCAUGCUGAGCUGCUCAAGGUCGUGUGAAAUGAUUAGGAAAGCAGUCAGCUGAGUUUGCACAAUGAAUGUGAGGGGAGAACAGUUCUAGCUUAUGACUUAAGACUGUGAUUCAGAAGCCCUUGCGGGAGACAUAGUGUUGCCCUAGAAUCUAAGUUCUCACAAAAUGGGCUUGCUCUGUGAUCUGUUGGUCAGGCUUCUGCCUUUCAUGUGGUCCUCUGGGGUUGUGUCACUCAGAUGGCCCUGACUCGGACAGACACAGCUCUGACGCCCUGUGAUUCCCAGCCUCCCGGCCCCUGUUACUGGGCUAGGCAGUUGAACUGAAGGACAAAACUCAAGGUCAUGGCCUGGAAAGCACGGUGUUUGGGGGUGCCUUUUUAGUCCCUUCAUUUUAUUGCAGACUGUUCCCAAGUUCAAGGUUGGGUCAAGUUGAUCUGAUGUUUUGAGAUGGAGUCUAGUCUGGGGCAAGGUGGAACCUCUUCUUAAGGUAGAAAUGUCUGCAAUCAGUUAUUUCACCUGGCUUGCGUCUUAAACCACAAACCCUCCGGUUGCUCUCACUCCAUGAAUGCAUCUUCGCCAAUGGCGGAGGGUCAUACAGGACCCCUGUUUUACGUGUCUCCUCUCCAUUAUGCCCAUCAGAAUGUUUUCAGGGUGUGGGUUUGUUCUCCAUUUUGUAACUGCCUUAUCAAAAAGCAAGUGCCCUUCCAUUCCAGGCCUCCUCAUACUGUACUUGUUUCCUGCCAAAUUUGGGGGAUCACUUGUAUUUUAAUUUUGUAAUCUAUGGCUCUGUACUGUUGAAAGGCUCUCCAUUCUGUGGGGUCUCCUUAGUAUGUACGUGACUUUUCAUGUUGCAAUAUCACACGGAUGGGACGGCCCGACUUUCACUCUUAAUAAAC